rnacentral:rRNA from 1 species
AUUGAACGCUGGCGGCAGGCCUAACACAUGCAAGUCGAGCGGAUGAAGGGAGCUUGCUCCUGGAUUCAGCGGCGGACGGGUGAGUAAUGCCUAGGAAUCUGCCUGGUAGUGGGGGAUAACGUCCGGAAACGGGCGCUAAUACCGCAUACGUCCUGAGGGAGAAAGUGGGGGAUCUUCGGACCUCACGCUAUCAGAUGAGCCUAGGUCGGAUUGGCUAGUUGGUGGGGUAAAGGCCUACCAAGGCGACGAUCCGUAACUGGACUGAGAGGAUGAUCAGUCACACUGGAACUGAGACACGGUCCAGACUCCUACGGGAGGCAGCAGUGGGGAAUAUUGGACAAUGGGCGAAAGCCUGAUCCAGCCAUGCCGCGUGUGUGAAGAAGGUCUUCGGAUUGUAAAGCACUUUAAGUGGGGAGGAAGGGCAGUAAGUUAAUACCUUGCUGUUUUGACGUUACCAACAGAAUAAGCACCGGCUAACUUCGUG